CCUACGGGCGGCAGCAGUGAGGAAUAUUGGUCAAUGGACGAGAGUCUGAACCAGCCAAGCAGCGUGAAGGAUGACUGCCCUCGGGUUUGUAACCUCUUUUUAUAUGGGAAUAAAGUACAGUAUGUCUACUGUUUUGUACGUACCUUAUGAAUAAGGAUCGGCUCACUACGUGCCAGCAGCCGCGGUAAUCCGGAGGUUCAGAGCGUUAUCCGGAUUUAGUGGGUUUAAAGGGAGCGUAGAUGGGUUGUUAAGUCAGUUGUGAAAGUUGGCGGCUCAACCGUAAAAUUGCAAUUGAUACUGGCAGUCUUGAGUACAGUUGAGGUAGGCGGAAUUCGUGGUGUAGCGGUGAAAUGCUUAGAUAUCACGAAGAACACCGAUUGCGAAGGCAGCUUACUAGACUGCCACUGACAUUGAGGCUCGAAAGUGUGGGGAGCAAACAGGAUUAGAUACCCGGGUAGUC
rnacentral:rRNA from 1 species